ACAGCAGCCGCCGCGGGAAUACGAAGGGUGUAAGCGUUAAUCGGAAUUACUGGGCGUAAAGCGUGCGUAGGCGGUUAGUUAAGACUGCUGUGAAAUCCCCGGGCUCAACCUGGGAAUGGCAGUGGAGACUGUCAAGCUAGAGUAUGGGAGAGGAUGGUAGAAUUCCAGGUGUAGCAGUGAAAUGCGUAGAGAUCUGGAGGAAUACCGAUGGCGAAGGCAGCCAUCUGGCCUAAUACUGACGCUGAGGUACGAAAGCAUGGGGAGCAAACAGGAUUAGAUACCCCAGUAGUCCCUGUCUCUUAUAC
rnacentral:rRNA from 1 species